ACAGUUAGUGCUGAUUUUCAUUUGCAUACAUUUUCAUAUAUUUUGGUGAAAAUAAUAGACUGGUGGAGAGCUGGGUUUAGAAGAGUCAGUGUAAAGGGAAGACUAAGGAUGCAUCGGUUCUGGGGAGUUGAGAAUAUGCCUCCCCCCCCCAGGCACCUUUAAAAAAUAAUAAAACAUCUUCUUUUAUUUUAAAAUCUAAUCCUGGAAGUUUGUUCGGUAAAGCCACUUUAAGGCAACACCGUUUCCUGCGUCCUUUGUGUUCCCCUGUCCUGUGGUCUGGAGACAAAGCUGGGGAACAAGACUCAGCUGACCUCUGACAUUAUGGAGCUACCCUUGAGUAAGGGAGAUGGACGGAUGGCACGCGAGGGACCAAACAGAGAGAGGGUCACACGUGGAGUUGACUAGCACAGUUAUGGAGGGCAGGAAGUCCUACAAUGUGCUGUCUGCAAUCUGGAGACCAAGGAAAGCUGCUCAUGUAACUCACCUCAAGUCUGAAGACCUGAGAAUCACAGGGGUCCCUGGGGAGCAACUCUGUAAAUUCUAGCUGGAUUCUGAAGGCCCAAGACCCAGAAACUCUGAUGCCCGAGGGCAGGAGAAGAUGGAUGUCUCCACCUUUCUUCUGUCUUUCUCUUCUAUUCUGGUCCUCAAUGGAUUGGAUGACGCCUACUGCAUCGGUGAAGGUGAUCUUCGUUACUCAUCUACUGGUUCAGAUGCAAAUCUCUUCCAGAAACGCUCUCACAGGCACAUCCAGAUGUAUGUUUUACCAGCAGUCUGGGCAUCUCUUAGCCCAGUCAAGUUGACACAUGAGAAUAACGGGCACAAAUAACUGCAAUUGAAGGAUAAAUGCUCCGUGUCCUCUCUCUGCCAGUUGGCGUUUAUCAGAAGGCACUGGAAGAAGAGGGACAAAGGUGCCUGGAUGUAUGUGUUCACCAAGAGUUGUCAGGACCUUGAUUCUAAAAGGAAGUUGUAAACUAAUGUUUUUGACGUCAAGAUGUUUCUGGAAGUGGAGGCAGUUCAAGAGUUUGGCAAACACAAGCCUGCAGGCUAAGUUCAACCUAUUGCCAGUUUUUGUAAAUAAAGAUUUAUUGGAACACAGCCACACCCAUUAGUGGACUGGUUGUCUCCUGUGGCGUUUGUGCUACAAUGUGGAGCAGUAGUGGCCUAAAAGAUUUACUGUCUGGUUCUUUCCAGAAAAAGUGUGCUGACUCUUGAUACAGUCCGUCCAAUACACUGAAUAUUUAUGAAUGCACUACUCCCUGCUGAGAAAGGUAUUUAUUGGAAUUUCAAUGGGGGUCCUCAUUUGAUGAGAUGCUAAGGGCUUUUGGUAAUGUGCUUAGGUUAUGAGUGUUCAGUACUGGUGAACAGACAGCAGGAAGUGAGGCAGAUUUGGGGCAAGACUUUAUGGUUUGAGAAAGAGGCUUUGCUAUUAAUGUCUCAGUGGCAAGUCACUGAUUGUGGUUGGGCUGUUCCUGUUAGAUAACAAGAUUGCUCUACUACGUGGAGAAGGUGCUGAGAUUUCCAACGUGGAAUGCACCUUGAUUUACUCCUUCAGGACCUUAUGGUCAACAUUAUGGAUGUCUGCUUCCAGGCCAAAAGAUGGGCACCCUUUGCCACCAGUUGGUAGUUGGAUGGGUCAAGCGAGAGAAUGUGCAUCCCAAGCAUUCCCUAAACCGUAAGAUGCUCUAUUUGUGACAUAUGAAAGCAGCAGGGCAAGUGUUGUUUCUGUCUGGCACAUGAAGAAAUGACGCAGCCUACCCAAGAUCAAGUAGUCAGCCAGCAGAGGACCCGGAGGCUAGCUCUCUUGCUUUAAGUCACCAUUCUUUCCAGUAUACCAUAUGCUUCUUUGCGUCACGCUUCUUUCCGUGCUUUCAGAAAUGCUCAGUUUUUUAGUUCAUUUCUUUAUUCUUUCAUUCACUAUUGAACGUUCUUUAACAGCCUGCUAUGAAUGGAUAAGGAGCUGGAUGUUUCAGGGAGAGUGAGGACUAUGUAAAAAGAGUUGGAAGACCCUUAUAGUAAUUUUAUUCUUGACCCCUGUGGCCAGAAUCCUCCAGAAGGACGUAGAUUCUUCUCUUGAGUUCCCCUGCCCUGACCAAGGAGCUUAUUUGUGAUAUGGAGAACAAGAAAGUAGAUUGGAUGAGAAAGGGAGAGCAAUCCUGUCAUUCAAAAGGGUUGCCUGACAUGUUGUUUUAUGUCGUGGGUGUGCGUAUGGUAUGUACACACCAUGAAAGCAAUGAAAGAAAGAGGGAUUCUGAAGUGUUGAUAGCAGAUUUUACCAGCAACUGAAGGAUGGAGACAGUCUAGGUUUGGAGGAUUUGCAAGUUAGGAUUUUGUAUAUAAAGUCCAAGGGAAUCGAUAUCAGAGGAAUUUUCCAAUAUGAAUUGUCCGAUUAAAUGACAUAAAUUAAACAUGCCAGAUGUGGAUUUAUUUUAUCACACUGUUAAAUACAGCCUUCAUUCAGAUUGUCUUCAUUCAAUGAUGUGUCUUGUAAGUUUUGAAAUGAUGAUUACCAAAUGUGCCUGGAGGAAGCAGCUUCCACCAAAAUAUUAAAUUUGCCCUGUCAUGGUGAGAGAAGUGAAAUUCUUGAAGUUUCUGUUUUUGACACUAGCUGUUUUAACAGGGAAGUUUGCCAGUAUUUUCUUCAUAUUCAGUGUUGUUGGCUACUUGUUUUUUUCAGGUUUGUCUAUGAGUCUAAGUCUACGAUUCUCUGAAGCAAAUAUGCCGGUGAAGUUGCCUGAUAAAAAAGCAAACCUCCCAGAGUCUUCCAUUGGAGAAUUGUCACCUGCAAAGACCUCUGAGAGAAGAAACAACCGACCAACCAGCCAACCAACCAAACCCACUUCUGGAGCACCUCCUGGGAUGGAGGAGAUCUACCUGGGUUGAGCAGGCAGAGCUCCCCUCCUGGUCCCAUCCAAGACCUCAGGAUCUUCUUCAAGAAGAGCUAUUACCAUGGGCUAAGAAGGCCAGUGGACAUGAGUUUUAGAUCCAUUAUCUGCCGUCUUCACAGGAACCCUGCAAGGUAGACAUGACUGUCUUCAUUCUACUGAUAGACAAGUUAAGGCUCAGUUCAAAGGAACUUUCCUGAGGUUGCAGUGCAGCAGGCCUAGGGUUGAGCCUCAGGGGGCCAGCCUUUCUGUGCGGUGGUCAAAAUGAUUUUGAAGCUAUACUUGAGGGGAGAGGGAGUCCUUGGACCUCUGCAGGUGCACUGAGCCUUGAGCAGAGCCUUCCAGACCACCUGAAAGAACUGGGGAGCACACAGUUGGCAUUAAAUAGCCUAGGCUCUGUAGGGUCUCCCUCAAUGACUGGCUCUUCUGGUGUCAUAUGUGUUAGGAAAUAUUCUUGCCAUGUUCUGGCCCAGCCUCCACAGUUCACAGACUUGGGACUUUCUUUGGCCCAGUAUCCAUUCACUAAGUGCCUUUUGGCUCUCUUGCAUAAGCCAGGGUAGAGAUGGAAGAACAGAUGUCCUUGGCUUAAGUCAUGCAGCAUGGGAGUACAGGGGUUUGACUGAGGGUCUCAAAGGUCUAGGUCACUCAAUAUGAUUCUGCAGAGAUGCCAGUAGCACUUGAACUUCCUCUGGACAUCUACCCAGACCAGGGUGCUCUUGACCCCAUGACACGGGCCAGUAGUUUAUGAAGCGUUAGCCACCCUUUUUACCUCUAGGAUUUUUCUUUUCACUUUUACCUCAUGCAGGCAACUAGGCCAGUGCCUACUUGUUUUGGGGGGAGGGAAGUGACAAUGAAAAAUGGGUCUUCACCUGGUCUGGUAGAUUCUUUAAGUUGGCAGCUUCACACCCCUCUUAACUGGUUAUUUCCUAUAACAGAGGCUAGACACCAGACAUUCAACUUCCUGCCGCCCUACAGAUUGGAAUGGGCAGAUGCCUCCAGUGAUGAGUGUGAAACACACAGGCCCCUUCCUUGCCGGCUGGCUUUGUCCCGCUUGUCUGGCGUGGGUUGCUCAGGGGACAGCUCUCAUUGUUAAACAGGGGCCUGGCUGGAGGCUAAGAAGAGCCUGCCUGCUUCCUUGACUGCGCCUUUGAGCACUAUGCCUGAUUUUUUGCUUGUGUCUCACAAUAAAUUUCUAUUUGGCCAAACCUCUGUUGUUGGGUUUCUGUGACAUCCUUCCAGAUAUGAGGCUUACCCACUAUACUGUUCUGU